rnacentral:rRNA from 1 species
GACGAACGCUGGCGGCGUGCGUAACACAUGCAAGUCGAACGAGAGAGUGAGAGAAGCUUGCUUUUCUUAUGAUCGAGUGGCAAACGGGUGAGUAACGCGUAAACAACCUGCCCCGCAGAUGGGGACAAAAGCUGGAAACGGCUGCUAAUACCGAAUACGGUCCUCUUAGCGCAUGGUAAGAGGAAGAAAGGGUGGCCUCUGGAACAAGCUACCGCUGCGGGAGGGGUUUGCGUCUGAUUAGCUGGUUGGAGGGGUAACGGCCCACCAAGGCGACGAUCAGUAGCCGGUCUGAGAGGAUGAACGGCCACAUUGGAACUGAGACACGGUCCAGACUCCUACGGGAGGCAGCAGUGGGGAAUCUUCCGCAAUGGGCGAAAGCCUGACGGAGCAACGCCGCGUGAGUGAAGACGGCCUUCGGGUUGUAAAGCUCUGUUAUAGGGGACGAACGGCCGGGUAGCGAAGAGGUAGCCGGCANGACGNUNCC